AGUGUCUUCACGGCUGUGUCAAGGCUGAGCUCUCACCACCGUCUGGAGCAUACAAUGAGGAAAGCCAGAGUCAAUAAGCAUGUUGGAGCUAUGACCGCAGAGGUGAUUGGAGAAUCAUAGCCCUCCUGAAGUGAUAUCCAAACAGAGAAUUUUCCAAUACAUAUUCUGAAAUCACAGAGCAUGCAAUUCCACACGAGCUCCAGGAAGGCAGCAUCUCUGCUUAGGAUAUGGAAAUUUGGAAGCUCGUCGCUAUAAUCUGUGGUUAUGAUUUCAAGCUCCCCCAGUGAUGUCGGGAAGCAAACCGCAGGCUCCCACUGCUAGGAGCCUUUAUUGUAAUCCAAUAAAGCUUUAACAACCA